rnacentral:pre_miRNA from 8 species
GUAAGAUGCAAAAUUAUUUUUGCAAUAUGUUCCUGAAUAUUUAAUAUAAGUAUAUUGGGAACAUUUUGCAUCCAUAGUUUUGUAUCAGUAUU